UCUAAGUUGUGAUGGAUUGAUAUCCCUUUAUGUUCCAAACCUUUGUUUUUUUUUUUUUUGGAGCUUGUAAUUUUCAUUGCAAACAAUACAUAUGGUGUAUGAAUUACAUUCAGUCCAGUAUAAACUUAGCACUUUCGCUUCAGAGGCAAUUUAUGGGUUUUAUUCUACAAUCAUGUUUGCUAAUUGAUCAGAUUGAUUAAGAAGGGCGUUGGAGUAGCUUGGUAAAUUUGUUUUGCUAGGUUAUGAUAAAUUAGCAUUCAGCAGAAUAGAUGUUUGGGUUUCUUCUUCAAAUCACACAGUAAUAUUUCUCUUGUCAUUGGUGAAACAAUCAAUCCACUCUCAUUAUAACUUCCACAACAGAAAAUUUUAUGUUAUUUGCCUACUACCAAUGCAGUUUAACUGAUUUUACAUUGACUGAACAAGGUUGAUUUUAUUUAGGUCUAGUGAAAAUACUGAAGAAGUAUGACAAGAGAACAGGAGCACUUAUCAGGCAGCCCUUCAUCGAAAAGGUGCUGCAGUAGCCAUUCUUUACAACUGAUCUCCUAUAUAUACAAACUCGUGAAGGAGUGUGUGGCUAUGCUCGACCACCUCUUCCCCAGCAACAACCUGUCAAUUUCAGCAGAAUGCAACGGACAAAAUGGAGUGCCAAAGCCGACACAAUCAGGUGGGAGGGUUCCGGAGUUGGAGGAGAUUAAAUAUAUGCAGAGCUUAUACAUGAAGAGCACCGUAGCAGCGCUGCGGUCCUUGAAACAGA